rnacentral:rRNA from 1 species
AUUGAACGCUGGCGGCAUGCCUAACACAUGCAAGUCGAACGAGACCUUCGGGUCUAGUGGCGCACGGGUGCGUAACGCGUGGGAAUCUACCCUUGGGUUCGAAAUAACAGUUAGAAAUGACUGCUAAUACCGGAUGAUGACGUAAGUCCAAAGAUUUAUCGCCCAAGGAUGAGCCCGCGUAAGAUUAGCUUGUUGGUGGGGUAAUGGCCUACCAAGGCGACGAUCUUUAGCUGGUCUGAGAGGAUGAUCAGCCACACUGGGACUGAGACACGGCCCAGACUCCUACGGGAGGCAGCAGUGGGGAAUAUUGGACAAUGGGCGAAAGCCUGAUCCAGCAAUGCCGCGUGAGUGAUGAAGGCCUUAGGGUUGUAAAGCUCUUUUACCAGGGAUGAUAAUGACAGUACCUGGAGAAUAAGCUCCGGCUAACUCCGUGCCAGCCGCCGCCGUAA